rnacentral:lncRNA from 1 species
CCUUGUUCACUGAUCCAUGAAAUGAGGUCGAGGUCAAGUGAAAACUGUCUGACGGGCAUGAGGACCUUGCAAGGUACGCACAUACUAAAUAUAGUUAUCCUAUUACUUACAGUAAGAGAGAAUUUAACAUUACAAAAAAUCUGAACUUUUUUUUCAAGUGGUCACUGAACCAUGAAAAUGAGGUCAAGGACAAUGGACAUGUGACUGACGGAAACUUCGUAACAUGAGGCAUCUAUACAAAAUAUGAAGCAUCCAGGUCAUCCACCUUCUAAAAUAUAUAGCUUUUAAGAAGGGAGCUAACAUCGCCGCCACCGUAGCCGCCGCCGCCGGAUCACUAUCCCUAUGUCGAGCUUUCUGCAACAAAAGUUGCAGGCUCGACAAAAA